ACUGCCUGCCCAGUGACAUUAGUUAAACGGCCGCGGUAUCCUGACCGUGCAAAGGUAGCAUAAUCAUUUGUUCCUUAAUUAGGGACUUGUAUGAAUGGCCCCACGAGGGUUUAACUGUCUCUUACUUUCGAUCAGUGAAAUUGACCUUCCCGUGAAGAGGCGGGAAUACAAGAAUAAGACGAGAAGACCCUAUGGAGCUUAAAUUAAUAUGUUCAACAGAAUUUAAUGAUAGCCCAAUAGGAAUAAAAAUAUUCUAACUGAACAACAAAUUUUGGUUGGGGUGACCUCGGAGUAUAACAUAACCUCCGAGCAAUUAAACCAAGACUUACCAGUCAAGGCUAUAUAACUUAUUGAUCCAAUCUUAUUGAUCAACGAAACAAGUUACCCUAGGGAUAACAGCGCAAUCCUAUUUAAGAGUUCAUAUCGACAAUAGGGUUUACGACCUCGAUGUUGGAUCAGGACACCCAAAUGGUGCAGCAGCUAUUAAAGGUUCGUUU
rnacentral:rRNA from 1 species